rnacentral:rRNA from 1 species
UACGUAGGUGGCAAGCGUUGUCCGGAAUUACUGGGCGUAAAGGGCGUGUAGGCGGCCUUUUAAGUCAGACGUGAAAACCCUGGGCUUAACCCAGGAACUGCGUUUGAAACUGGAGGGCUUGAGGACCGGAGAGGGUAGUGGAAUUCCCAGUGUAGCGGUGAAAUGCGUAGAUAUCUGGAGGAACACCGGUGGCGAAGGCGGCAUUCUGGACCAUAACUGACACUGAGAGACGAAAGCCAGGGGAGCAAACGGG